AUCAAAUUAAUAACUAUCUAAAAUUAAGAAAAUGGAGUUAUUUACAAAAUGUCAUCUAUAAUAAUUAAAUUACUUAGGUAAUCAUUUAAAUAUAAUUUGUUACUUAAUGAGUAAAUAACUUUUUAAAAAAUUAGAAAGUAUUUCUUCCUAUACUAGCUAUACCACAUACUAAUUUCCGGUUCUCGUCGAUCUAGUAAAUUAUAUAGGUUAUUCUUGCUUUGUAACAAUGUAAAAUUCUCAUAACAAUCCUAAACAAGACUAUAAUAAAACCAACUGAGGUCAAAUAAAAACGUUUUAAAAAAAUUAGAAUGAUGGUAGUAUAAAUGAUAUAACUUUGUGUCUCUCAUUCCCAUUUACUAUACCUAAUAUGCCAUUAACAAACAUAAAGACAUUCACAUGAUAUGGAUUAACAAAACGGUGAUUAAAAGGAAGAAAAAUAAAUAAGCAGUGCUAAUUAAAAGUGAUAGCAGCAGGAAACUGAAGUAAAACACAUUUUAAAAUGAUAGUAAACACUUUUCUCCUAGAGUUACCACAAACAACAACAUUUAGGUUAAUCACUAUAAAACAUGAAUAUGACACUGAUGCAAUGAUAAGGAAAACAAAUCGAAACACAAGAAAGGCUUGUAUCAAAGCAGCACAAACAUAAUGCAACCCAAAUCUCGUCCAAGAUGCAAUGAUAAUGAAAACAAAUUGAAAUACAAGAAAGGCUUUUAGGGAGAAUAAUAAAAAAAAACUAUAACAGUAGCAAUACCAAAACAAUACGUAAUAUAACCGAAGCCUCAUAUGAAUCCUCCAUAAAAUCAAAUUUUAGCAGCAAGCAUACUAACAUAAUAAUGUGCCAAAAUAAGAACAACUUAUAAUCAUUUAAAAAGUUAUUGCAAUAUCGACAUAAAUCCAACAUUUAUUCUGAAACACAUUAUGUCAUAAAAUAUAUGGAAUCGAAACAAAUUUAUGCAGUAAAGCCAAUACGUAAUGCAAUCAUAUAUUGAAACAAAGUUUGGAGUUAUAAACGUGAUUCAAUAACUAAAACAGAAUCAAAAUAUGAAACCAUUUGUAAUAGUAUUUUCGGUUCAAAAUAUUACCGAAUGCAGAACCGUGAGCGCUAUUUAGCUUGUUCUUUUCACAAGCAGUGGGAAUAUAGUGUCAAGCAUGUCUCAAAAUACCUGCUGAACGGUGCAGUUUAACAGCUCCAAGAAGAUCAUUACGAGUAGUUGGUUGCCAUGCUUUCGAUUUGGGAUAUGCGGACUCUAUUUCUUUUCACUUGAUUUUCACUCUAAAUCACAAAACACACCAGAACACGAUCGCCGAUAGUGAAUACAUCGCCUUCGGAAAUGUGUCUGCUACCUCUCGAAACUCUAUCGUUAGUGGAGCGAAUCUGGUGUUUUUAGCCUUCCAUUUUGAAUCCUAACCGAACCAGUACCUGCAUAAAAAAAUCAAAACCAACAGCAAUCCAAUCGAAAAACGCCUUGUAAACUCGAAAUCAUCUAAAACAAAGUUGAAGCAAGAGGCUCUGUUGUUGUUCGAUGUCGUAUCACACCGUUGAGUUGCUAUUGCAUGGUUUGAGUUUUGCUUGGAUGAGUUUCUGGGUUGCGAAGAUAUGGCCAAUGUACGGAAAUGAAUGUAAGGUUAAACGUCGUGGUGCACCGUUGUGUCUAGCGGUGGAGGGAAUAUCG
rnacentral:lncRNA from 1 species